AAAUGUAACUCAGUUACAUGAUUUGUGAAAUAGCAAAGGGAGUGGGCGGGCAAGCCGGUGUGUCUUAAAGAAGUAUCCACGUACCUGACCUCAGGGGGACUCCGUACAUAUGGAA